UACGAAGGGGGGCUAGCGUUGCUCGGAAUCACUGGGCGUAAAGGGUGCGUAGGCGGGUCUUUAAGUCAGGGGUGAAAUCCUGGAGCUCAACUCCAGAACUGCCUUUGAUACUGAAGAUCUUGAGUUCGGGAGAGGUGAGUGGAACUGCGAGUGUAGAGGUGAAAUUCGUAGAUAUUCGCAAGAACACCAGUGGCGAAGGCGGCCUCACUGGCCCGAUACUGACGCUGAUGCACGAAAGCGUGGGGAGCAAACAGG
rnacentral:rRNA from 1 species